GACCACCCCUAGGGUCAAGGCCAUACGGACAGCCGGGUCCACUGCCGA
rnacentral:sRNA from 1 species